rnacentral:rRNA from 1 species
GAUGAACGCUGGCGGCGUGCCUAAUACAUGCAAGUCGAGCGAACAGACGAGGAGCUUGCUCCUCUGACGUUAGCGGCGGACGGGUGAGUAACACGUGGAUAACCUACCUAUAAGACUGGGAUAACUUCGGGAAACCGGAGCUAAUACCGGAUAAUAUAUUGAACCGCAUGGUUCAAUAGUGAAAGACGGUUUUGCUGUCACUUAUAGAUGGAUCCGCGCCGCAUUAGCUAGUUGGUAAGGUAACGGCUUACCAAGGCAACGAUGCGUAGCCGACCUGAGAGGGCGAUCGGCCACACUGGAACUGAGACACGGUCCAGACUCCUACGGGAGGCAGCAGUAGGGAAUCUUCCGCAAUGGGCGAAAGCCUGACGGAGCAACGCCGCGUGAGUGAUGAAGGUCUUCGGAUCGUAAAACCCUGUUAUUAGGGAAGAACAAAUGUGUAAGUAACUAUGCACGUCUUGACGGUACCUAAUCAGAAAGCCACGGCUAACUACGUG